GGGCAGACUUUUGUGGUUUGUGUAAACUUGGGCAUCUUGUCCUUUUCCUCUCCAUGCCUCAGUUUCUUCAUUUACGACAUGGAAGUGAAGAUGGCAGCUACCUCAUGACUGGUGCAGAGUGUUCCGAACUAGGCAGUGAGCAUACUAAAAAGGAGUGAUGGGUUUUCUAGGGUGAGAAAGGGGCAUCCUGGUUAGGGGGAGAUGGGCAGGUGCUAACAGAAAUAAUAACAACAGUAACAUUCAGCCCUGAUGUGCUAGCACUGUGCUAAGUGCUUUACUUUCUUCAGCUCAUUUUAUUGUCCUAACAAAGUACCAGCCUCUUGCUUAUGAGUCGUCCACUCUCCGGGUACUCCUGGGAUGGCAGGAGCAGCCAUGGACCCAUCUUGACAUGGCAGUUCCUGCUGCAGCUGUGAAGGGGGUGGCCUGGCUCGGGGGACUGCACAAGAACGAGACCCACGUGAAUUACAAGCUCCCCCCAGGUAAAUCCUAAAGCACCCCUGGACAAGGCCUGAGACCACCAACCUGCUGUGUAACAGCG
rnacentral:lncRNA from 1 species